rnacentral:rRNA from 1 species
UACGUAGGGGGCAAGCGUUGUCCGGAAUCAUUGGGCGUAAAGAGCGUGUAGGCGGCCCGAUAAGUCCGCUGUGAAAGUCCAGGGCUCAACCCUGGAAUGCCGGUGGAUACUGUCGGGCUAGAGUCCGGAAGAGGCGAGUGGAAUUCCUGGUGUAGCGGUGAAAUGCGCAGAUAUCAGGAGGAACACCGAUAGCGAAGGCAGCUCGCUGGGACGGCACUGACGCUGAGACGCGAAAGCGUGGGGAGCAAACAGG